rnacentral:rRNA from 1 species
AUUGAACGCUGGCGGCAGGCCUAACACAUGCAAGUCGAGCGAGCGGCGGACGGGUGAGUAAUGUCUGGGAAACUGCCUGAUGGAGGGGGAUAACUACUGGAAACGGUAGCUAAUACCGCAUACCAUCAGAUGUGCCCAGAUGGGAUUAGCUAGUAGGUGGGGUAAUGGCUCACCUAGGCGACGAUCCCUAGCUGGUCUGAGAGGAUGACCAGCCACACGGGAACGGAGACACGGUCCAGACGCCUACGGUAGGCAGAAGUGGGGAAAGUUGCACAAUGGGGGGAAGCCUGAUGCAGCCAUGCCGCGUGGGUGAAGAAGGCCUUGGGGUUGUAAAGCACUUGCAGCGGGGAGGCGUUACCCGGAGAAGAAGCACCGGCUAACUCCGUGCCAGCAGCCGCGGUAAUUC